AGUGGGUGCCUGAUUAAAGGAUUAUCUUGAUAGGAUAAAUUAUGUGAAUAUUUUAAAUUUUAAUUCAUCCCUCUU
rnacentral:tRNA from 1 species